rnacentral:rRNA from 1 species
UACAGAGGGGGCAAGCGUUAUUCGGAAUUAUUGGGCGUAAAGGGCGCGUAGGCGGCUUGGCAAGUGGAUGGUGAAAUCCCCGGGCUCAACCUGGGAACUGCCUUUGUGACUGCAAGGCUUGAGUGCGGCAGAGGGGGAUGGAAUUCCGCGUGUAGCAGUGAAAUGCGUAGAUAUGCGGAGGAACACCGAUGGCGAAGGCAAUCCCCUGGGCCUGCACUGACGCUCAUGCACGAAAGCGUGGGGAGCAAUCAGG